CCUACGGGUGGCAGCAGUGGGGAAUAUUGGACAAUGGGGGGAACCCUGAUCCAGCCAUGCCGCGUGUGUGAAGAAGGCCCUCGGGUUGUAAAGCACUUUCAGUGAGGAAGAACGCCUGGUGGUUAAUACCCAUCAGGAAAGACAUCACUCACAGAAGAAGCACCGGCUAACUCCGUGCCAGCAGCCGCGGUAAUACGGAGGGUGCGAGCGUUAAUCGGAAUUACUGGGCGUAAAGCGCGCGUAGGUGGCUUGAUAAGCCGGUUGUGAAAGCCCCGGGCUCAACCUGGGAACGGCAUCCGGAACUGUGAAGCUAGAGUGCCGGAGAGGAAGGUAGAAUUCCCGGUGUAGCGGUGAAAUGCGUAGAGAUCGGGAGGAAUACCAGUGGCGAAGGCGGCCUUCUGGACUGACACUGACACUGAGGUGCGAAAGCGUGGGUAGCAAACAGGAUUAGAUACCCCAGUAGUC
rnacentral:rRNA from 1 species